rnacentral:tRNA from 1 species
AGCUUCGGUACAACCCGAAAAAGAAUA